rnacentral:rRNA from 1 species
AUGAUAUUAUUUUUUACAAUGGCAAGGUUUACAACAAAAUUGAUUUCUAAGAAAGCAUGGCAAAUCUGCCAUACCAAAAAAAAUGCCAUGAGACUUCAUCAUGGAGCCUGGGAGGGUAUAGGACACCAUCAUCAGUCUCGUCCUCUUCCUUCCCAUUAUCUCAGAGUAAUUUCUCUUCAACCAAUCCUUCAGGCUCGGGUGCCUCAAGAUCUCAAGGAUCACAAGGGAGGGGGCCGUUGCACCAUAGGGGGGAGGGGUAGUUUACGGUAUCUGAUCUGGUUAACUUUUUUGCUCCAAAACACUAAAAUGGCGGUUAUUUUCCAAUACGCCUUUGUUAAGGUAUCAGUUAGAGUUGCUCUUAGUACACUCAUGACGCAUCCUAUUUGUAUACAAGGAGAGCAAAAGGUUUAUACAUGGACUAAAAUCAGAUUGCUCUCAAUAACGACAUUCUCCAUGGCUCCUGCCUCUUUCCAGAGUUUUGAGUUUCAAAUCAGAUUGCUCUCAACAACGACAUUCUUCAUGGCUCCUGCCUCUUUCCAGAGUUUUGAGUUCCUCUAG